UCCCUCUGUGCUCGAGCUUUCCUGCGGGGUGACUCUGCUGAGAUGCUGUUUCCAUUAAGGACAAUUGUGGCGAAUAAAGAAGGAAUGAACAAACAAAUGGAAAAAGGGAAGGGGAGGGAGCAGUGGAGCAGAGAGAGCUGCUGCUGGAAGGAGGGUGAUGCUGGCUGUGUCCCCCUGCCCAUGCUUGACUGGGGCCCCUGUCACCCAGCCUGGCAUGGUGGGUAGUGCCAGGGCCUCCUGCAGAACCAGAGUGGUUUGGGGAGUGCUGAUGUUGGAAUUGCUGCUCCAUCCUCCCAGAGGGGUCACAGAGUGUUCACACCAGCCAGGGAACCUGACCCAGCCGAUCCCGUCAGUCAGCACACACAACUCCAGCUCUGAAGUUCACUCUUCCGUCCGUGCCACCAUCCCAAGGAGCACGAUGAUGGAUGAAACCUGUCAGUCCUGCAGCUCUGCCUGCACUGGAUGCGGUAUUUCGGGAAGCAGUCCCUUGCACUGCGCAGGGAAAGCCUUCCAGCCCGAGCUGUGCCAGCACCGGGAGCGGUGGCGGCUGGCACUGCCCGUGGCUGCGGCUCCUCCGCUCCCACGAGCCGCUCCUGCCGCAGCUGCCGGGUGCCAGCGGCCCCAGCCACCCCUCGCUGGAGGUCCUGGACUUCUCCCAGUGACCUGGAGCUGUUUGCCGUGUUCCUGCACAAGACCUAGA